rnacentral:lncRNA from 1 species
GCACAGUCGAAAACCCUAGCGGUGCAAAAGAAAACGAAAACCUACUUGAGUGGGAAGAAGGGGCGAAGCACUUGGGAUGUGAAAAUUAGGGCAAAAAUGAGGCGGUCCUUGGUAUGUUGCAGCAGCUGCAACUCAAACCCUUCGAGUGGGGGGUGACGAGAUAAUCAAUGGGGUUGAGUGAAAGUGUGAUUGAUUUGGGGAAAUUGUGUGUAGGUUGAAGAAUUAGGUUUUGGGUGACUUGUAAUUGAAGAAGGGCGUGAGUUGAGGGAGUCUGUGGUGGUGAAGAUUAAGUUAGGGUUGAUGAAGGUUUUGGGUUUUGAAAAGUGAAAGAUGAAGAGAAGAGAGUUUGGAGCGGCCUGCGGAGGAACAAAAGGCGUGAAUGGGGUGUUCUGAUGUGAAAUGGGAGUGCAUAGGGUUACAAGAAGUGAAGUGGGUCACGCACUCUACAACCAAGCCAGUCUGCAGGUCGCGC